rnacentral:rRNA from 1 species
UACGUAGGGUCCGAGCGUUGUCCGGAAUUAUUGGGCGUAAAGAGCUCGUAGGCGGUCCGUUAAGUCGGAAGUGAAAUCUCAAGGCUCAACCUUGAAAUCGCUUUCGAUACUGGCGGACUUGAGGCAGGUAGGGGAAGGUGGAAUUCCUGGUGUAGCGGUGAAAUGCGCAGAUAUCAGGAGGAACACCGGUGGCGAAGGCGGGUCUCUGGGCCGAUACUGACGCUGAGGAGCGAAAGCGUGGGGAGCGAACAGG